GUAGUAGCUAGCUUACACGCAUGCGUCAUUGCUUCUGCCAGAGGAUCAGUGAAUACGUGGGUAUUUUUUGUGUCCCGUCUUUUCUAAGAACAAAACAAAAGAACAAAAACAACAGUCCGUCACGCUGGAUUUUUCAGAAUUUGAAUAUCCUGGCAUUAAUCACGGACGGAGUUGAGCUUCUUGGAGAUUUCAUACGAGUCAUCCAGAACUUUGAUCACUCGGGAGACAUGAAAAGAAAUCAAAUGAUGAUUGAUUUUCCACACCUGCGACAGGGAAUUCGCCAGAUACAAGUGAUAAACCACAGGAUGAAACAUCAAAGAAUCGAAAUAUCUCCUGUUUAUUUUGAAAGAAACCGACAACAAGAGUGAGUAGAGUACCGUCUGUGAGAAAAAACAGCUCCAUUACCCCAGUUCACUCUGCCAGAAAUUCAGAAAUCAAACAUUCAUUCAACAUCAUAGAGUUUGGAGUGAUCUCACCUAAAUCCCAGGCUCCUUCAUUAGAAUUUCAACAUCAACAACAGGAUAUUUUUGUUUGUAUCACAUUUUUACAGGAAGAAAAGAACAGUAAAGCAAAGGUAUAAAACAUUCAAUUAUCGAGAAAAUCUAUCUCACCAAGGAGACAAGAAAAAUGAAAAAAUGGAGAGAAUAAGCAGUAAAAGAGGGAUUACAAAUGCGUUACCGUGGAGAAUGGCCAACCACGCUGGUUACAGAAUUUAUCCAAUAAAGGAAUCUAUAACGCGAAACCGUGUCCCAAUAUCGACAAGGUGAUUAUCUCCGAGUCUUCAUUAUUCAGCGCCAAACUCAUGAAUAAUCCCUCACAGGUGAAGAAAGUGAAAAGAAUAGAGAAAAGUGGGUUAGCAAGAAGAAAUAAGGAUUUUGAAUAACGUUUUUGAUCUGCCGUUGUUUUAGAUCUUGCUUCUGUGUUCUGAAGCAUAAAUAGAUUGGAAAUGUUAGAAUAGUCUCUCGGUGAGCGGAAUUAAGUCUACUGGAAGAAAGUGUUAUCAGUUUCUCAACGAGGAAUUCGCAUCAAACCUGAUCAUCGAAAUGAUCACCAAGAUUUAAAUUAAGAUUUAGGACCUGUAUUACCGAGCCAAAUCGGAUUAGAAGGAAAUAAAGUUUGUGAACAAUGAAAAUGUGCAGAAGUCA